GCUUUUUCCUCAAUUAUACUAGCUUCAGAGCUUGUUCAAAAAUCGCUCAUGGUGCUCCGCUAUGUUCACUAUCAUCUUCUCUGCUGCUCCAACCUACUCCGAAUUUUCUGAAUAGUACACUUCUUUGCAUUGUAUAGAAGGUGUAGGAAGGCAGGCCUAAUCAGUACUCACACGGGGACCAAUUGAGAUUCAGAAUGGAAAAAGCUGCCAUAUAUGCACAUCUUUCAGCUGGAGGAUGCUUUUGUCCAUUGUUUUGACACGGCCGCUUGUUCAAGAAUCGCUCGUGGGGAUCCGUUAGCAGUUUUUGCCGUCAUCUCUCUGCUACUCCAACCUACUGCGAAUUUUCUGAAUAAUUCACUU